AUACAAUGCUGUCAUAUAUUUCGUCAUUUCUAUAAAAAAAUAUGGCCCCACAGUUUAUAUAAAAAACAGAAACCUAUGAAAAGGGGAAGGAAAAAUAUCAAAAUCAUAUUAACUACAAUGUCUGCUUGAACAUUUGAAUGUUGUUGAAACAGAAAACAUUUAAAGUAAGUGCUUGAUCUAAAAGUUUUUUGUAAUUGCUAAGUGUAGCGCCCUAAACUCUUAAUAUAUAAAAAUAAAGGUGGUCAGGUUCCAAACCUUUUCCUACUACAAAAAAAAAAAAAACUUUUGUGCCACAGAAAGUUCUUUACGGAGGCAUUACGCUUAUGUUUUUAAUUGUACGUUUAAAAGACGUGGUUAAGAAAUUGCAUGUUCUUGCUUAAGAUCCUUCACUGAACACUGUUGUCAUCAUGAAAGUUAAUACCAUAAUGACCAAUGCGAAUAAUGACAUCUCUUGUUGCAGUAGUCAUCUGAGUGAUUCUUCUGAAGAUUAGAUAUCGUGAUUCUGUCUUACCUGUUUAAGAAGUGUGUUCGUUUGUUUCCUGUGUGAAUAGGACGGCACGCUUCAGCUCGAGGGUACCAGGCACUGCUUAGGCACGCAAGACAGAGAUGUGUUAAACCUGAAUAUUCAUGAUAUCCAGCAUGAUGUGAAGAUUUCAAACGCAUCUUGUCUGAUUCAGAUGAAGAAAGUUCGACGCCCGAUAAUCGUGCUUCUCCCACUGUGACCCGGUGAGCGCUGCAAACUCUGACGUGGAUAUAAGCUCUUUUACAGCGAAAGCCAAUUAGAGAAGAUCUGUCUGUCCAACCCUUCAGAGAUCUGGCCUGGACCGCUCCAUAGACGCC